rnacentral:rRNA from 1 species
UACAGAGGGUGCGAGCGUUGUUCGGAAUUAUUGGGCGUAAAGGGCGCGUAGGCGGUGCGGUAAGUCACCUGUGAAAUCUCCUGGCUUAACUGGGAGCCUGCAGGCGAAACUACCGUGCUGGAGUGUGGGAGAGGUGCGUGGAAUUCCCGGUGUAGCGGUGAAAUGCGUAGAUAUCAGGAGGAACACCGGUGGCGAAGGCGGGUCUCUGGGCCGAUACUGACGCUGAGGAGCGAAAGCGUGGGGAGCGAACAGG